rnacentral:lncRNA from 1 species
UUUCCAUUGGCUACCAUGACUGCCACAACGCAAGCGACCUGGCAGGACCACCAAUAAGCUUUGACCGCUGGCGUGGCAUGCUGGGAGUUGUAGUCCUAAGGAAGCGCGUAGACUCAGAGAAAACUUGCGAAGUUUAGGAUGGAGCUGAAGAGACUGGGUUCCGUCCUACGGUGGGAUUUCUUUCCGUGCUCGCGCGUUCAGCCCCAAGUCUCAGGGCCACUCGUCUGGGAAGUUGUAGAAUCUGUAUAGCCAACCUACACAACCUCCAAGGGGCCUUUGGACAGGACCAUCAGCUUUUUCCUUGCCUUCGGACUUGAAUUAAACAUCAUCUCUUCCUUGGCGUCAAGCCUGCUGCCAUCAGACUGGAACUAAACCAUCAGCUCUCAUGGGACUCCAUCUUGCUGACUUAUCCUGCAGAUCUUGGGAUUUAACCGCCUCCAUAAUCACGAAUCCUCCCUCCAGGUCACUGGGAGCUUCAAUUCCUUAGAAGAAAGAAAGAGAUGACUCCUGCUUCAUAGUCCAGGAAAAUCCCCACACACCGUGGAGGCUCUUUAAGGCGGAAGGAGGUCUGCGGGGAUGUGAGAGCUUCAUACUCAUUCCCACGACUCUGUCGCAGAAGCCAGUGUCCAUUGGCAGAAGCAACUAUCACCAUACUAUGAAGUAGCACAAGCCCUUCACCAGAUACAGUCGCCCAAUCUUGGACCAUCCAGCCCCAAGAACCAUGAGCUAAAUAAACCUUUUUCCUUGAUAAAUUACCCAGUCUCGGGUAUUCUGUUAUAGCAACAGAAAACAGAGUAAGACACCACAUUUGUCUUUGAUGUUCCAAAAUAAUCAAAUGUGUGAUGAUAAAUACAGGGUUUGUUGUUAGAUCCUGUAGCCACAUAGCAUGUUUGAAUCCCAGCUCUGCCACAUGCUAGUUAUGUGACCUUGGGCUUGUUACUCAUCUCUGAACCUUAGUUUCCUCAUCUGUAAAAUGGAAAUAGUAACAGAACCUGUGUUGUAGAGCUAUUGUGCAGACUUGAUGAACUAAUGAUAUAGUGCCUCAUUCCUACAGUGAGUGCAUGAUAUUCAUUCUGUCACCUAAAAUUAUUACUUAUAAUUAUCUGCUUUAUUUUAUUUUAUUUGAGGAAGGGUCUCACUAUGUUUCCCAGGAUGGAAUGCAGUAGGUAUUCAUGGGCAUGCAGUCAUAACACACUACAGCCUUGAAUUCCUGGCCUCAGGUGAACCUCCCACUGCAGCCUCCCAAGUACGUAGGACGAAAUUAUUAUUUUUAAAUGUUAAUAUAGAGAGAAGGAUUCUUCCCUAAAAUUGUGGAUUAUGAGUGUCACAGUGAGUCUCCUUCCUUCCCCAAAUACAGGAAACAGCUUCUUCUUAGAGAGUUAAGUCUAUAAACCAUACACAGUUGAGAUGGUGGCAAUAAGCCAGACUGUAAAUGUGAGACAGAAGGGUUUGUAAGUUCCCAGAAUGCCAGCCAAGGUGACCUGGAGUUCUCUCGAGUGGCCAACUCAUAAUUUGUUGUACUCUGCCUGAAGGAAGAUGGUGUGAACAGGAGGAGGAUAAAAGCCUAGAAAAUUGAUAAGGAUCCCAAAGCAGUGAAAAAAACAGGUCCCAUUUGAACAGCAGCAAAAAAUGCAAACUAUUUAGGAAUACAUUGAAAGAGAGGUGCAAAUCUUUUCAUAAUGUAUAUUGUUGGGGCAUCUGCUCAACCCAUUCCCUUCUUCUCUGAGAAUCUCAAUCACCACCCCUAAGCAAAUUGGUCUGCAGAGAAAGAAGAAAAAGCAAAUGUGUAGAAAGAGGCGGAAGCAGUGGCUAUUUAUCUGGUUGUGGGAUAGGAAGGACUUCCCAAACCUGAAAGCAUGGAAGAGACUACACAGAAAAAGAUGAAUGAAUUUGACUACGUAAAAAUAAAACACUUAUGCAUCAGAAAAAUACUAUAAGGAAGUACAAAUGAAAAGUAAUGGUGACAAAUAUGACAAAGAGCUAAUAUACUUUAUCUAGAAAGAGUCUUCACAAAUCAAAAAAAAGCCCAAAUAGAACAGGAACAGACAAGUCACACAAAGAAGAAAUACAAAUAACUGAUAAACAUAGGAAAAAUCUCAAAAACCACAGAAAACCCUUAAGAAGACCAAACCUAAUAUUAUCAGUGCUCUAAAAGAGGGGAUACUUUCUAAAUCUAAAUAUGACCUCAAGAUCGAUCACAAAGAUUUUUUUAAUUUGAUAGUCAGAUAUACAGAUUUGAUUUAAAAAUUUUUAAAUUACCUGCAUUCCAGAGGAAUGGAACAAAAUCUAAGGUUACAAAGCCAUAAGGAGGAAGUGCUCUGAGAUAUGGACCUAUUUGAUUGGUAUAACUUACCAAAAUGCAACCGGGCUCUUCUCCAGCCUGAAAAAUGAGAAAAGGGGAUCAUUAAAGUACCAGAGACAUCAAGAACUCCUGUAGGGUGGUGGUCAAAUGUGGAGAAAGUGCAUCUCACCUGAGUUUGCUGCAGCUCUUUUCAACUCUAUGAAAGAAGAAACAAGGGGAAUGAGCUAUCACUGCAAAUAUUAGGGCAACAGGAGAUAAGUUGGUACGGAAGUUACAAGAACAUGGGAAACUUACUCAGUUCACUCCGGAGUUUCUCUAAAGAAUGAAAACAAUUUGGCAAAUCAGAAGGAGGGCCUCUAUGUAGAGGCCCUCCCAUAAUGCUACAGUCCCAUCCCAACCAUGAGCAGACAGAUACUCAAUAGCUAUACCCUGGAACUUCCCCAGAAGAGUUUGCAAGAGCAGUAGAUCCCAGCUGUGGACCAUGGGAGUAUCCCCAGAGAUACUGCAGAGGAUCAGCAAAUUCCUAUGUGAGCCAAACCUUAUCUGCAGGCUAAAUAAAUAACACAUCUCACACCUACAGAACAGCCAGUGUCUGCCAGAUACACGCCACGCUUGCACCAGCUUGGAGGAAAUGUAAGGAGGGAAGAGAGGAGACGCUGACAUCAUUGAAUCUGGAGUCAUCUGAGCCAGUGACUUGUCUUCCCAGAUAGACUUCAACAAGGUGUCCAACUCAGUGGCCCACAGUAAAUGUCAAAUUAAUGAAGACAAAAUGGCAAUAAGGAAAAGGAGUUCCAGGCACUGUGACAGAUUUUUUUUUAAGGUUGCCUGUUUUAACACUGAAAACAAUCAGCAUGGUCUGAAAGAAGAUUGUCUAGAGGAAGAAAGGAAAAGAUAAUGAGAUUUUUUGCCACUGCCUUGAGGAUCCCUGAUUCCUAUUGAUUUUACCUGCCCUUGGACCUGUCCACCUCUAUCUUCACCUCCACCUCCCUGAUCCGGUCUCUAAUCAACUCUCACCUGGACAACAGAAAUGGCAGCCCAAAUUGUCUCCCACAUCCUGUCUUAAUCCCUCUGGUCUCUACUAAACUCUGCAGCCUGAGAGAAUUGUUUAGUUUUUUUUUUUUUUUUAAAUCUGCCACCCUGGCUGGAUUGCAGUGGCAUGAUCUUGACUCACUGCAGAUUUUUUUUAAAAAUCUGCCACCCUGGCUGGAUUGCAGUGGCACGAUCUUGACUCACUGCAACCUCUGUCUCCGGGGUUCAAGCAAUUCUCCUGUCUGUCUCCUGAGUAGCUGGGAUUACAGGCACGCACCACCAUGCUCCACUAAUUUUUGUAUUUUUAGUAGAGACAGGGUUUCGCCAUGUUAAUCAGGCUGGGCUUGAACUCCCGACCUCAGGUGAUCCACCCUCUUCAGCCUCCCAAAGUGCUAGGAUUACAGGCGUGAGCCACCAUGCCCGGCCAAGUUUUUCAAAGCACAAUUACAUCUGAUAUCCCCAUUCCUUGCUUUACCACUGCUCUUACGAGAAUGACUAAAAUCCUGAAUGUGACCCACCAGGCCUCAGGAGGCUCAGCUCCGCCUCACUCCCCAGCCUCACCCCUGCCACUUUUCCCCUCACUCCUGCACCUCCUCAACUCCCCAGUGAGUGCUGCUUUCCCCGACCAUGCUUCUCUCUGAAGCUGUUCUUUCUGCGGUGGCUGGUUUUCCAUUCCCUCUUCACUCAUGACUUCUAGUCCUUCAGGACAAACUUCAUACCCUCAACCCUCAAGCUUGGUUGGUUCAUUCUGGUCAUAGCCUUCACAGAACCAGGAGCUUUCUUGUGUAGCUUUUGUACACAUUUAUUUGUGUUAACUAUUUAAUUCAUCUCAUUUCCCUGACUACACUGAAAGUUCCAGGAGGGCAAAAACUGUGUCUGCUUUUACUCACUAUUGCAUCCCCAGAAUCUAGUAUUGUCCAGGGCAUUUUGUAGAUAAUUAUCAAGUAUUUGUUGAACAAAUAAAAGCUUCCCCCAUGUUCAAGCUACUCGACUCCCAUAGAAUAAGAUCAAGCAAUGAGCUCACAGGCAAAAAUCAUUAAACAUACAGGAAGGCAAAGCUAUUACAAGUAAGAGGCAGUAAAAACUGGAAGCAACGGAUUUAGACAUUGCCACCAUCACCAAGGAUAGCAGAUAAUGGAAUUUUCAGGAACAGAAUCCAGGUUAGUGGGUAUGGGGGGCACAGAAAUUAACAACAAAAGAAACAUCUCCCCUGCCCCCCAGCCAAGAACACUUACCCACCUCCGUCACAUGUUCAUAGAGAAGCUUUUCUAAAAGGGAGAGAGAAAUGCCAGCUCAGCUUAGGAAGGGCUUUUUCUAACAGGCACAAGUGUCCCAAGAUGCCCCCAGCUGCCUGAGUAGGACUGACUCCUUGUCACUACAGAUAAGGCAAAGGCACACCAUGAUGAGAAGUACCAGGACAGGCAGGAUCACAGCCAGAGCCACUGCUGAGGGGGAGAGACUCCCCACAGAUGGGGCUGAAACAGAAACCACCAACGACUGACCUCAGGGAGAUGUCUAAGAGCUUCUGGCAUGCCUCAGAUGGCAGGCGGCUCCAGCACAUCCCAACACUCUCCAUCACCUCUAGGGAGAGAGCUCCGGCCAAGAGGCUCUUUGCUUCUCUGAUAACUCAAGCCCUGGAUAGCAUUAAAGAUAACUGAGGCUGGGAACGGUGGCUCACGCCUGUAAUACCAGCACUUUGGGAGGCAGAGGCAGGAGGAUCAUCUGAGAUCAGGAGUUCAAGACCAGCUGGCCAAUGUGGGGAAACUCCGUGUCUACUAAAAAUACAAAAAUUAGCCAGGUGUGGUGGCGGGCACCUGUAAUCCCAGCUCUUCAGGAGGCUGAGGCAGGAGAAUCCCUUGAACCCGGGAGGCAGAGGUUGCAGUGAGCCAAGGUCACACCAUUGUACUCCAGCCUGGGUGACAAGAGUGAAACUCCAUCUCAAAAACAAACAAACAAACAAACAAACAAAAACUGAGAUGUUCCUCUCUCGGGAAUGGUUUGGAUGGUCCUGCCUCAAGAUGAUGACUUAAACAAACUUCUUGACCACAAUCUCAUCCUGCCCUAUAAUUCAAUGGAAAAAUAAGCCCGGGACUUCAGAGGACUGAAGGCACUCUCCUCACUACACACCUCCAGUCUUCCCAGGAGCACCUGCCUGUUUACCCCUGUCAAUCCUCACUCUGCUCUAGAAGAGCAGGCAGCAACCUCUUUGCCCUGAGCACUGUCCACGGGGGCAAAGCAAUUUCUAUGAUGCCGCAGCAGUAGGCCUGAAGCCUAGGCAGGAGAGAAAGGGGAAAAGAAAGAGGAAAUAGAGGAGAGGAAACGAGCAGAAGCGGGCUAUGGGUAGAAGUAGUUAAGAGCCUAAGCUGGGAGUAUGUCCUUGCUCAAUGCUGUGUGACCCAAAGCAGGAGACUGAGCACCUCCCAGCCCAUUGUCCCUCAUCUGUAAAAUGUGUGCAUGACAGGACUCCUUAUCUCUUUGAGGUUUGGAGAGAUUUAAAGAGGUCAGUCAUAUAAAGCAUUCAGUCUCCUAAGUAGCCGGGAUUACAGGCACAUGCCACCAUGCCUGGCUAGUUUUUGUAUUUUUUUGGUAGAGACAAGGUUUUGCCAUGUUGGCCAGGCUGGUCUCCAGUUCGUUUCAAGGAUCAUUAAAAGGUUCAGGCCAGGUGUGGUGACUCACACCUGUAAUCCUAGCACUUUGGGAGGCUGAAGCAGGAGUAUCACUACAGCUCAGGAGUUUCAGACCAGCCUGGGCAGCAUGGUGAGAGCUCAUCUUUAUUAUAAAUAAAAAAGAAAAAAUAAGUAAAAGGUUUGAACCCUUGGACCCAUUAAUUCUACUGCCAGAAGUACAUUAUUAAAAAAAAAAUCAAAAUCACUUUCCAAAAUACGUUCAAAGAUGUUCAUUGCACCCUUCAUUAUAAUAUGAGGAAAAUUUGGAAAGCAUCCAGAUGCCCAGAAACAGGGCUUUGAUUAAUUUUAUUAUUCUAUAGCCACAUGGCAAAAUACUAUGCAGCCCUUAAAAUCAUAUUACUUAGGGACAUGGGCAAAGAAAACAAAUGCUCAUGAUAUCAUAAGUGGAAAAAUAUCCUGGGCACAAGAAUACACAUGUGUAAACAUACAUGCUCAGAGAUACAUAUAUACAAAAAAGUCUUGCAAGAAAGAUACAAAAAUGUUAGCAGCAGUUCUCUCUAAUUUAAGCUAUUAUAGGCCAUUUUUCAGUUUCCUUUAAAUAUUUUGGAUUUUUUUCAAAUUUUCUACAAUAUAUAUGCUUUAUUCUUAGAAUUUAAAAAAAUUGAAAAUUCCUCAAAAAGUUCCUGCUAGGGUAGGAAUUUCCUCAGGAACCACCAGCGCCUUCAAACCUGUUUCCACCCCAGCUUUUACUUGUUAUGACCACAGCUGUGGUCUUCUCUUGGCCAAGGGCCAUGUUGUGGAUGGUUCAGGACACAUUCCCCAGUGUGCUGUCCCUGACUCUGCUAGACACUGCUAUUUGGAAGAGCCCAGCUUUUUCCAGAGAGUGGGCCUCUGACAGGGAUGGAAGUACCCUGCCUUGAGGUUCUCUCCACUUGGCCCAGGGCUCUGGGAACCAUCCCACCUAUCUGCACACCAGCAGGGCCUCUGCCAGGGUAUGGUCCUGGCCAUGGCCCUCUUCCCCCAUAGCCUCCUGUGAUGAACAGGGGCAGCUGUUAAUGGAACUUGUCCUCUCUCCACUCUCUCCCCACGCUCCUCCUAAUGGGAUAAGCCAGUCUCUAGCUUUAUUCUCAGACAUUUAAAAAUUCACCCAUAGCAAUAACUGUAUCACAUGAUUCAGAUUCCUGUGGGCACCUCGGUCCCCUUUUAAAAAUUACUUUUCAGCUGGGCAUGGUGGCUCAUGCCUGUAAUUCCAGCACUUUGGGAGGCUGAGGUGGGAGGAUCACCUGAGGUCGGGAGAUUGAGAUCAGCCUGACCAACAUGAAGAAACCCCGUCUCUACUAAAAAUACAAAAAUUAGCCGGGCGUGGUGGCACAUGCCUGUAAUCCAGCUACUCGGGAGGCUGAGGCAGGAGAAUCACUUGAACCUGGGAGGCGGAGGUUGUGGUGAGCCCAGAUAGCAUCAUUGCACUCCAGCCUGGGCAACAAGAGUGAAACUCCAUCUCCAAAAAAAAGAAAAAAGAAAAAAAAAUUAGUUGGCCAUGGUGGCGGGCACCAGUAAUCCCAGCUAACUCAGGAGGCUGAGGCAGGAGAAUCACCUGAACCCAGGAGGCGAAGUUGCAGUGAGCCAAGAUUGCACCAAUGCACUCCAGCCUGGGCAACAAGAGCAACACUCCAUCUCAAAAAAAAAAAAAAAAAAAAAAAAAAAAAUUAAUUUUCACCCCAAAGGACUCCAAUUUGGAAAGUCUGUCUACCAACUACUGAGUGUUUUAAAGUAAUUGAUUCAUCCCCACUUCAUGGUGUGUGACUUCAAAUUAUGACCAAAAGAUAAUCAGCAUGUGACCAUGUGAAGCCAGUGUCAUUCAAGCAAAUGCAAAGACAUGGUUUGGGUUGGGUUGAGUUGGGUUUGGUUUGGUAGACUGAUUUUUUAAAAUAUUAGUAGACUGAUUUUUGUGGACUGAUUUUCAGUAAACUGUUUUUUUUAAAUAUUGAAGCUAGUUUGAGAACACUCUCAACUGGGUGCAGUGGCUCACACCUGUAAUGCCAAUACUUUGGGAGGCCAAGCGGGGAGGAUUGCUGGAUUGGAAACCAGUCUAGGAAACAUAGGGAGACCCUGUCUCUACUAAAAGUAAAAAAAAAAAUUAACCAGACAUGGUAGUGUAUGUGUAGUCCCAGCUACUUGGGAGGCUGAGGUGGCAGGAUUACUUGAGCCCAGGUGGUCAAGGCUACAGUGAGCUAUGAUUGCACUACUGCACUCCAGCCUGGGCAACAGAGCAAGGCCCUAUCUCAAAACAAAAAAAAAAAAAAAAAAAAAGAGAAAAAAAAAAAAAAAAACACUAUCUCUCCCUUCCUAACCCUUUACUUUCUCAGGAACCCCAGGAGAGGACCCAUUAAGUAAAUCCUGUCACAGCAGGGGAUCUGUCCCUUGAAGACAUUUCUUUACAGCCAUGUAAUGAGUUCCUUGAUAAUGGAGCAUAGAAAGAUGACCCAGGGAGGAAAAGCUAUUAUCUGAGCCUCCAAGCCCUAUUUAACCAGGACCUGCAUUGUACAGUGUUUUCCAAAGUCUGAGUUCCUUCCUUAUCAGAAAUGCCUAGGCCAGCUUCACAGCCUCAGCUGAGAUCAAUGGACAUGGCUGGGUAAGGCUGAGCCAUCCUGGCAAGUAAAAACUACACUGCAGAUGAAAGAAAAGUCUAGACAUGGAGAGACAAAGUAGGUCCUGAUUAAGCUUGUCCAAUUGCCACAAAUGACCCUGGGCACCUCAAACCCAUUCUAACCUGCAACCUGCAGGAUCACGGUGUCCUCUUUACUCAGAUUUCCAACUUGGAUCAGACAUCGGUAAGACCCUUGGUCCUCAAGGCGCACGUCA